rnacentral:misc_RNA from 1 species
UACGAAGGGGGCUAGCGUUGUUCGGAAUUAUUGGGCGUAAAGUGUUUCGGAGGCGUCUUUGUAAGUUACUUUUCAAAGCCCGGGGCUUAACUCCGGACAGGGAAGUAAUACUGCAAAGAUUGAGAUGUACUGGGGCAACUGGAAUUGUCGGUGUAGGGGUGAAAUCCGUUGAUAUCGACAAGAACUCCGAAGGCGAAGGCGGGUUGCUAAGUAUUUUCUGACGCUGAGGAACGAAAGCUAGGGGAGCGAAACGG